UACGGAGGGGACUAGCGUUGUUCGGAAUUACUGGGCGUAAAGCGCACGUAGGCGGAUUUGUAAGUCAGGGGUGAAAUCCCGGGGCUCAACCUCGGAACUGCCUUUGAUACUGCAAAUCUCGAGUCCGGGAGAGGGAUGUGGAAUUCCAGGUGUAGCGGUGAAAUGCGUAGAGUAUCUGGAGGAACACCGGUGGCGAAGGCGGCAUCCUGGACCGGUAUUGACGCUGAGGCGCGAAAGCUAGGGGAGCAAACGGGG
rnacentral:rRNA from 1 species